rfam:Alistipes sp. CAG:435 genomic scaffold, scf13
GGGGAUGUUCUGGUUUUGACAGCAAUGAUUCCGGGCGGUAAGCACGUCGGGCUCCUGGAGGGCCGGCCCGCCAAACUGGAUCUCCAAAAAUUUAGUUGCUGAUAACAACUACGCACUCGCUGCCUAAUCGACCAAGUCGCAUUAGCUUAAUCCGAGCCGCCUAGGAUGCGGUUCCGACGAGUAUCCCGCGGACUUUACGCCUUCUCUGUUCCGAGUUCGGGGUAUCAUUCAAGAAGGACGCACCGGAGGACUCCUUUAAAUCCGGCCAAGCCUCAAAGGAUAAGCUUCGGUUAGCCCGUCUUCCGGCAGGCCGCGGCCGACAACCAAAGGACGACUAAACGUGUAGAAAGCCUCUUGGCGCGUUGUUUGGACGGCGGUUCGACUCCGCCCAUCUCCACUG